AAAGGGAGCAAUCCUAAGUAAAGUGGCGCACGGGUGAGUAACACGUGGAUCAUCUACCUUUUAGUGGGGAAUACCACUGGGAAACCGGAGACAAUACCGCAUAAGCCCGCAAGGGGAAAGCAGCAAUGCGCUGAAAGAGGAGUCCGCGGCCGAUUAGCUAGUUGGCGGGGUAACGGCCCACCAAGGCGAAGAUCGGUAGCCGGCCUGAGAGGGCACACGGCCACACUGGCACUGAAACACGGGCCAGACUCCUACGGGAGGCAGCAGUGGGGAAUCUUGCACAAUGGGCGAAAGCCUGAUGCAGCGACGCCGCGUGAGCGAUGAAGCCCUUCGGGGUGUAAAGCUCUUUCGACGGGAACGAUAAUGACGGUACCCGGAGAAGAAGCUGCGGCUAACUACGUGCCAGCAGCCGCGGUAAUACGUAGGCAGCGAGCGUUGUUCGGAAUUACUGGGCGUAAAGAGUGUGUAGGCGGUGUUCCCAGUCUGUUGUGAAAUCUCCCGGCUUAACUGGGAGGGUGCAGCGGAAACUAGAAUGCUAGAGGGUGGGAGAGGUAAGCGGAAUUCCUGGUGUAGCGGUGAAAUGCGUAGAUAUCAGGAGGAACACCUGUGGUGUAGACAGCUUACUGGACCACUUCUGACGCUGAGACACGAAAGCGUGGGUAGCAAACAGGAUUAGAUACCCUGGUAGUCCACGCCCUAAACGAUGCAUACUUGGUGUGAGCGAUUCAUUUCGUUCGUGCCGGAGCUAACGCGUUAAGUAUGCCGCCUGGGGAGUACGGUCGCAAGGCUGAAACUCAGAGGAAUUGACGGGGGCCCGCACAAGCGGUGGAGCAUGUGG
rnacentral:rRNA from 1 species